ACUAACAAGGAUUCCCCCAGUAGCGGCGAGCGAACAGGGAAGAGCCCAGCACUGAAUCCCGCGUCCGACUUCGGACGCCGGGAAAUGUAGUGUUAGGGAGUGUCCGCUAUCCCGAUAUCGCGCGGCGCGUCCAAGUUCUCCUUGAACGGGGCCACUCACCCAUAGAGGGUGCCAGGCCCGUAGCGGCCGCCGCCGGUAACGGGAGGAUUUCUCCUCAGAGUCGGGUUGCUUGAGAGUGCAGCCCUAAGUGGGUGGUAAACUCCAUCUAAGGCUAAAUAUAACCACGAGACCGAUAGCGAACAAGUACCGUGAGGGAAAGUUGAAAAGAACUUUGAAGAGAGAGUUCAAUAGUACGUGAAACCGUUCAGGGGUAAACCUGAGAAGCCCGAAAGGUCGAACGGGGAGAUUCAGCGCGUUUCGUGCGUCUGUGCGAGUUCAGUAUCGAGUGACGGCUCGGCGUAACAACGUCUGGCUGCGCCGAACGGGACCGUUGCCGGCGACGAACGCGUGCACUUCUCCUCUUGUAGGACGUCGCGACCCGUUGGGUGCCGGUCUAAAGGACCGCGGUGGAGCCCGUCGGGGACGUUUGCUCUUCGGAGUGCUCGUCUCCCGUUCGGACCCGCGGAAUCCUGGCCGGCUCGCUCGACGGUAACAAACCUGUGGCGAUGGGUCGCGAAUUAAUUCGCGUCCGGCCCUUCGCGCCGGCGGGCGCAGCCUGGAUGUGCGGACUGUUGCGCCGUACCCGAGCUCGCCCGUUCGUCCGCGUUGGUGUCCUCGGACAGACCCGUUUAAUUACUAAACGCCAGUCGGCGACGCUCUAGCUUUGGGCACUUUCAGGACCCGUCUUGAAACACGGACCAAGGAGUCUAGCAUGUGCGCGAGUCAUUGGGACCGCAUCUAAACCUAAAGGCGAAAUGAAAGUAAAGGCCGCCUUCGGGCGUGCCCAGGGAGGAUGGGCCUGCGUUCAAAUUUUGGCGCGACCCCGCACUCCCGGGGCGUCUCGUUCUCAUCGCGAGAUGAGGCGCACCCAGAGCGUACACGCUGGGACCCGAAAGAUGGUGAACUAUGCCUGGUCAGGACGAAGUCAGGGGAAACCCUGAUGGAGGUCCGUAGCGAUUCUGACGUGCAAAUCGAUCGUCGGAACUGGGUAUAGGGGCGAAAGACUAAUCGAACCAUCUAGUAGCUGGUUCCCUCCGAAGUUUCCCUCAGGAUAGCUGGCGCUCGCGUAGCGAGUUUCAUCCGGUAAAGCGAAUGAUUAGAGGCAUUGGGGUCGAAACGGCCUCAACCUAUUCUCAAACUUUAAAUGGGUUAGAACUCCGGCUUGCUUGAACUUGAAGCCGCGAGAUAAACGGCUCGUGCUCCGCGCGUUAUCAGACGCCGGACUCGUGUCCGUAACGAAUCAGAG
rnacentral:rRNA from 1 species